CAGUAGCCGCGGGAAUACAGAGGAUGCAAGCGUUAUCCGGAAUGAUUGGGCGUAAAGCGUCUGUAGGUGGCUUUUCAAGUCCGCCGUCAAAUCCCAGGGCUCAACCUGGGAGCUGCAUUUGUGACUGUAGAGCUGGAGUGCGGCAGAGGGGGAUGGAAUUCCGCGUGUAGCAGUGAAAUGCGUAGAUAUGCGGAGGAACACCGAUGGCGAAGGCAAUCCCCUGGGCCUGCACUGACGCUCAUGCACGAAAGCGUGGGGAGCAAACAGGAUUAGAUACCCGUGUAGUCCCUGUCUCUUAUAC
rnacentral:rRNA from 1 species